rnacentral:rRNA from 1 species
UGAUAGAAAUUUAAACACUUUUUAAAGUAUCAAUUGGAGGGCAAGUCUGGUGCCAGCAGCCGCGGUAAUUCCAGCUCCAAUAGCGUAUAUUAAAAUUGUUGCAGUUAAAAAGCUCGUAGUUGAAUUUCUGUUAAAAAUAACCGGUCUGCUUUUUUUAUUAAAAGUUGUAUCAUUUUGGUGUGUUUUUAACAAUAAUAAUGUCCUUUGAAAAUGUUUUUUACUUUAUUGUAAUAAGUCAUUGUUUUGAGGAUUUUUACUUUGAGAAAAUUAGAGUGUUUUUAGCAGGCUUUUACGCUUUUGAAUACUGCAGCAUGGAAUAAUAAGAUAGGAUUUUAGUUCUACAUUAUUGGUUUUAAGAGCUAAAUUAAUGAUUGAUAGGGACAGUUGGGGGCAUUUGUAUUUAACUGUCAGAGGUGAAAUUCUUAGAUUUGUUAAAGACAAACUACUGCGAAAGCAUUUGCCAAAGAUGUUUUCAUUAAUCAAGAACGAAAGUUAGGGGAUCGAAG